GGUGCGAGCGUUGUCCGGAAUUAUUGGGCGUAAAGAGCUUGUAGGCGGUCUGUCGCGUCUGCUGUGAAAAUCCGGGGCUCAACCCCGGACUUGCAGUGGGUACGGGCAGACUAGAGUGUGGUAGGGGAGACUGGAAUUCCUGGUGUAGCGGUGAAAUGCGCAGAUAUCAGGAGGAACACCGAUGGCGAAGGCAGGUCUCUGGGCCACUACUGACGCUGAGAAGCGAAAGCAUGGGGAGCGAACAGG
rnacentral:rRNA from 1 species